UAUAAAUGACAUCGCAUUUAAGCCUGAUGGAACUCAACUGAUUUUGGCUGCCGGAAGCAGAUUACUGGUUUAUGACACCUCUGAUGGCACCUUACUUCAGCCCCUCAAGGGACACAAAGACACUGUGUACUGUGUGGCAUAUGCGAAGGAUGAGAGGAACGUAAUGACAUCCUGGCUGUGGCUGACUGGGGACAGAAAGUUUCCUUCUACCAACUGAGUGGAAAACAGAUUGGAAAGGAUCGGGCACUGAACUUUGACCCCUGCUGCAUCAGCUACUUUACUAAAGGCGAGUACAUUUUGCUGGGGGGUUCAGACAAGCAAGUAUCUCUUUUCACCAAGGAUGGAGUGCGGCUUGGGACUGUUGGGGAGCAGAACUCCUGGGUGUGGACGUGUCAAGCGAAACCGGAUUCCAACUAUGUGGU
rnacentral:sRNA from 2 species